UACGUAGGGGGCUAGCGUUGUCCGGAAUCAUUGGGCGUAAAGCGCGUGUAGGCGGCUCGGUAAGUCCGCUCUGAAAGCCCGGGGCUCAACCCCGGGAGGCGGGUGGAUACUGUCGAGCUCGAGUCCGGAAGAGGCAAGUGGAAUUCCCGGUGUAGCGGUGAAAUGCGCAGAUAUCGGGAGGAACACCGGUGGCGAAGGCGGCAUCCUGGACCGGUAUUGACGCUGAGGCGCGAAAGCCAGGGGAGCAAACGGG
rnacentral:rRNA from 1 species